rnacentral:rRNA from 1 species
UGGGGAAUUUUGGACAAUGGGCAAAGCCUGAUCCAGCAAUGCCGCGUGUGUGAAGAAGGCCUUCGGGUUGUAAAGCACUUUUGUCCGGAAAGAAAUCCUUGGCUCUAAUACAGUCGGGGGAUGACGGUACCGGAAGAAUAAGCACCGGCUAACUACGUGCCAGCAGCCGCGGUAAUACGUAGGGUGCAAGCGUUAAUCGGAAUUACUGGGCGUAAAGCGUGCGCAGGCGGUUUGCUAAGACCGAUGUGAAAUCCCCGGGCUCAACCUGGGAACUGCAUUGGUGACUGGCAGGCUAGAGUAUGGCAGAGGGGGGUAGAAUUCCACGUGUAGCAGUGAAAUGCGUAGAGAUGUGGAGGAAUACCGAUGGCGAAGGCAGCCCCCUGGGCCAAUACUGACGCUCAUGCACGAAAGCGUGGGGAGCAAACAGGAUUAGAUACCCUGGUAGUCCACGCCCUAAACGAUGUCAACUAGUUGUUGGGGAUUCAUUUCCUUAGUAACGUGCUAACGCGUGAAGUUGACCGCCUGGGGAGUACGGUCGCAAGAUUAAAACUUAAAUGAAUUGACGGGGUCAUAGCUGUUUCCU